GAUGAACGCUAGCGGCAGGCCUAACACAUGCAAGUCGAGGGGUAACAUAGGAAAGCUUGCUUUCUGAUGACGACCGGCGCACGGGUGCGUAACGCGUAUACAACCUACCUUUUAGCGGGGAAUAGCCCAGGGAAACUUGGAUUAAUGCCCCAUAGUAUAUAGACUUCUCCUGAAGUUUAUAUUAAACAUUUAUGGCUAUUAGAUGGGUAUGCGUCCUAUUAGUUAGUUGGUAAGGUAAACGGCUUACCAAGGCAGCGAUAGGUAGGGGUCCUGAGAGGGAGAUCCCCACACUGGUACUGAGACACGGACCAGACUCCUACGGGAGGCAGCAGUGAGGAAUAUUGGACAAUGGGCGAGAGCCUGAUCCAGCCAUGCCGCGUGCAGGAAGACUGCCCUAUGGGUUGUAAACUGCUUUUACAGAGGAAGAACCACCCCCACGUGUGGGGGUUUGACGGUACUCUGCGAAUAAGGAUCGGCUAACUCCGUG
rnacentral:rRNA from 1 species